AGGGAGCUUUUCUCGGCUGUAAAUAGGCAGGGGAAUAAGGGGAGGGCAAGUCUGGUGUCAGCCGCCGCGGUAAUACCAGCUCCUCGAGUGGUCGGGACGAUUAUUGGGCCUAAAGCACCCGUAGCCGGUUCCGUAAGUCCUCUGUUAAAUCCAGUCGCUCAACGGCUGGCCUGCAGAGGAUACUGCGGGACUAGGAGGCGGGAGAGGCGGACGGUACUCCGCGUGUAGGGGUAAAAUCCUUUGAUCCGCGGAAGACCACCAGUGGCGAAGGCGGUCCGCCAGAACACGUUCGACAGUGAGGGAUGAAAGCUGGGGGAGCAAACCGGAUUAGAUACCCGGGUAGUCCCAGCUGUAAACGAUGCAGACUCGGUGAAGCGUUGGUUUAUGGCCAAUGCUGUGCCGCAGGGAAGCCGUUAAGUCUGCCGCCUGGGAAGUACGGUCGCAAGAUUGAAACUUAAAGGAAU
rnacentral:rRNA from 1 species